ACUCCGGAUGUGGUUUUCAAGGAGGUCCAGAUCCAGAUCUGCUCUUUUACUUGUACUUCUGCACUACUAGUGCAGAAGUGAUUAGCAAUGAGACCAGCUACUUUUAAUCCUAUAAGUUUGUGAAGGGUUAAACAGUCAAGCUCUUCUUCUUUAGUAGCAGCAGUAAGGAGCCAAUAGAAACAAUUUUUAUAUAGAAUUCUAAAAGGAAUUUUACAGGUAUUAUUAACAGUUUACAAGUCCCUUUUGUGUCAAUUAUGUAAAUUUUCUCAUUUUGAUAAAAGCCCGGGAAAGUCUUGAUAUGUCUUAGUCUAGAACAACAGUUAACAGUCCCAGUUUAUUUCCAAGGGGGGAAAACACUAGUAAUUGCAUGGUGAGUGUUAAGAGAGCUUGGGUCUAUAAUAAAGAAAUUCGGCAAGGAUGUCCUAUCACACCCAUUCUCCCUCCCCUCACUCUCUAGAUGGCACUACCUCAGCCUUCUGCCUCAAUACACAAUUUAUCCAAAUCCUUGUUCAUCUAAACCCAGAGAAAGAGGUGCUCUUCUCUUCAGAGUUGAGCUCUCUACUCAUGCAUUGAUCCUGUCUCAUACGGCUUCCUCCUUGAGGAGAGCUGGCUGUGACCGUUGAGCAUAUUCAUCUAGCUAACACAAUGGCUAGGCCUGAAGACAAGAACAAAUGUAACAUUUACCAACCUCAGACAAUAGGAAAAUUUUCUCCUUUCUUUCCUUUCUAUUUCUUUUGGUUAGGCAACUUUUUAAACUUAAGCAUUUAUAAAAAGUAGACAGAAUUAGCUGUAUUAAAUUUCAAAACUUCUCUAAGUCAAAGAUAACCAAAAUAAAAGAACAGGACCAAAAAAAAAAAACAAUUGGAGUAAAUAUAACAAUGUUAAUGUCUUCAUUCUAUAAAGAACUCACCCAAAUUGAUUUAAAAAUAUGCUAUUAAGAUACAUAGUAUUGCAAAAGGGAGAAAAUAUUUUAAUAGAUAAUUUAUAAAAGAUGAACCAGAAACAAAUAAUGGAAAAAUAACCAUUCUACUAAUCAGGG
rnacentral:lncRNA from 10 species